CCAUUCCCGUGAAAAUUUUUUAUGUGUUUAACGGCUUUCCGCCAAUUUAUAGAGCAAACUUUCCCAAGGAACCCAUAUGUUUUGAAGCCUCUAACUAUUGAAAAACAGUGAAAAACCUGCGAAGUAGCACUUUAGCUCUACUGUCUCCUAUUAAUUAUUUCACCCCAAUUUCCGUUGCACCCCAAUUUCCUCUAUGCGUCGACCACAGCGAUGUGGUGAGUUUCUAAGCAGCAAACUGUCAAACGUUUGUUUUGUUUUGAAUUCAGUUUUCCUCAUUUCCGCGCAUCGAAAAAAAAAUCGACGGGGGAAUUCCAACGUUUCACCGUGUACGGAUGGGAUUCCGUUGGCCCAUUUUCUCGGAUCUGCGAGCAGCACAUCGACAACCUGGAUAUUCAGCCCCAUCUAGUGAAGAACCCGGUGGCGGUUGGCGAAGGAGCAGCUGAUUGAACUGAUUCACAGCCGGGAACUAGAUGAAGAUGGCCAUUUAGCCGCCGCAAUUUGUUGGCCUUCAGGCGCUUACCAAGGGACAUCCUCUGUAGGCACUCUUCCGCAAUACAACGCAGUUCUUAGGCCAAAGCGAAAUCAUUGAUUCCGUGAAGUUUUUCGUUGUAUUCACAGCAUUACGCUGCGGUAGGUUCGGAACUGUGCGAUGGCUAAACAUAUACAUAUCUCACCUUUCAAUUCAAUCGACAGAUGACAACGCACGAGACGAUCCACAAGGAGCGCAAUCUGGCCAUCAACCCUUGGCACAUAGUAUCGGAAAUGUUCGACAAGCAUACCGUCGGCAACUCGAGGCAGUGCGUCAACCUGGAUUCUUUAUGCAUCCCUUACAGCAUCCACGGAGUGCGUCCUAUUGCGGCACGUUGUAGCAAGGCGAUCGGCUGGUUCGGGUGGCCGACAUGGCGAUGCUAUAAUGCUGGCGAUGACCCGAGGUUUCCGAACGUAAUGCCUAGGGCUGCGCUAUGCCGAGCAGGAUGUCUCGUGCGGUAUCUGUCCAAGCAAAAUGAAUACUUCGAGCAUCCGCUGACGAUAAAAAUAUGGGUUUUUAAGGAUGGAAAUAUAGGUGUGCAUUUUGUUAGCCAACA